UACGUAGGGUCCGAGCGUUGUCCGGAAUUACUGGGCGUAAAGAGCUCGUAGGUGGUUUGUCGCGUUGUUCGUGAAAACUCACAGCUCAACUGUGGGCGUGCGGGCGAUACGGGCAGACUUGAGUACUGCAGGGGAGACUGGAAUUCCUGGUGUAGCGGUGGAAUGCGCAGAUAUCAGGAGGAACACCGGUGGCGAAGGCGGGUCUCUGGGCUGACACUGACGCUGAGGCGCGAAAGCUAGGGGAGCGAACGGG
rnacentral:rRNA from 1 species